UUCAAUUUCUGUAGAUAGGCUAAGGUAUAUAACCUUUUAUUAUGUGAAUGUUGACUGGUUAAAUUUCUGCAUUUCUAGCUGGAAAUUUGUGUGAUUUUAAUUUUCCAAGAAAUCAUUUACAUGAGGUUUGUGUAGAUCGUUGAGGGAAAACUAUUCAAAAGACAGUAAGACUGUGAUAAUAGUGGAGCAGCAAAAAGAUUUAGAAACUAGAUUAGCUUAUUUUAAUGGUUCCAAGCGUUCCCUGUGAAAGAGUUGCGAGAUAUUUUUGAGAAACUCAUUAUUGAACCGCAAAUCAUUUCUUCUUAAACCAUUUGACUAACAAAUAAAUAAAAAGAGAUAACAGCAAAAUAUAUACAUAUUUUAAAUAAAUCAGUUAACUCGAUAAAUAAAACUGUUUUAGCUGUAAGUUUAACUCUCAUCCAGUUGAAAUAGACAAAUGUAUUUCAUAUGUUUAUUAUUUUUUCAAAUUCAUUAACAUGUGAUGCUUGUAAUACAACUGUUUUUCUGUUCAUUUAUUAUAAUCCUUACAGGCCAUUUGAAUUAUUGUCAUUCUAAUUGUGCAAACCUUUGAUUGUCUUAACCUAAUUUAACAUUCAUCGCCAAUUAAUUAUUCAAACAAUAUGUCUUCAACGUCUCUCAACUCUUUCCUCCAUAUCUUAACGCUAAUUAUUUUGGUGAGUACUUGCUGAUUUUCACAUGUUUAUUCAAGAUGUUAACCCAAACUCAAGGCCUACUAUCUUUUACCAUUUCCAUUGGGAUAUCAUUAAAGCAUCUUAAGCAAAGCUCAUCUGGGAUAAUUAAUACAUGGUGUAAAUUAAUAAAUACAUCUACAGUUUGGUGAUGAAACUGGAAUGAAUAACCUGCGAUGUGUAUCCUCUCCUAAUCAAAAGUUGUGGUUUCUGUGGUAAAAUGGGAAAAAAAGCUACCUGAGUAACUACAAUAUGCAACGGGUUUGGAAAUUGUUUUUACAGAGAAAUGAAGGAAAACAAGCAAGCUUACCAAUGCAAUUAAUUUCUCUUAGGAAUCAAGUUUCUCAUUUAGAUGACACAAAGUUUCAUUGGAUAUGGAAAAGGAAAAUAAUAAUGGGAAUGAAAAAGCCAAGAAAAUAAUAAACAUUUGUAUAAAUUCAUACAAAGACCCGAUUAGAAGCAAGAAAACUGACAAGAGUGAACAACAAUCUCCCAUAGAGCUGUCAAUGAUACUUUUUUUAGCUGUUUCAACUCCAACUACCUAAGUAUAACCUUUUUGCAUAACAAAUAAGUUGCUACAAAUUUAAUUUCUAUCUCAUCAAUCAACAUUCAAACCUUUCUCAUUUCUCUCUUUUGCUAUUUUUUGUCUUUAGCUAAUAAACAGAAAGAAGCAAGAUUCAAAGCAGCAAAAAAGGUAAAGUUUCACAUGGAAAAGCUGUAAAGAUGUAAACAAAGUAGAAAAAUUUAUCAAUUCAAGAAACACUGGAUAUUCUCAUCUCUGGUAUCAGCAAGGAAAAAGUAGCAACAAAUUGAUCAAAUUGAAAAGGACAGAUCGGACACUUUACACCAAAUUUUAAUCUAACCAAGUUGGAAUAUCUAUCAACCUGUUGAACAUUUACUCAAAAUCUUUAACUUGACAUGGAACAUGGUUUUGAUCCUAUCCUUUUGAUGAUAUUACACUGAUAUAGAUUCUGUUCUGUUGAAUACUCAAGCCUAUAUCUUGGAAUCAUGGAUCCAGAUCAAAGCAACUUGUGGCUUUAUCAUUUAAUUUACUUUGACUUCUUCAAUCACCAUUUUUGAUGCAACAAUUCUUCUGAUUUUCAUCUCAAAUCAAAGUUCCAUCAACUAAUCAUUCCAAUAAUUAAUUCAUCAACAACAAAAGCUCCAGUUUAUGUUCACAGUUGGAUAUCUUUUGGCCAAUUCAAUUCAUAUUUUCCUGUCCAAUGGAUUGUUGUGGUUUCACUGAUUACCCAAACAAAGCAAACAAUUUGUAUUCAAUUGAUAACUCAAUGUUUACCUUGUGUCAAUGCUUUGAUUAAUGUGUCAAUGAAUAUGAAAUUUUGUAUAAUUGAGCCAAUACAACUAAUAUACUAAACCUUUUACACAAAUGUUCAUAAUUUUUGACAAUUAUGUAAACAUAUUGGCAUACCUUUAAACAGAUAAGCUUCUCUAUGCUAAUCCCAUCCAUUUCAAUUCCCUUAAUUCACUCGUAACUAUAACCCAACUCUAUGCUUGUAUAUUUAGUCAAAUCUCAUUAGGUUAACAUUUUUACCCUUAAAUACUGAUUAGGAAAAAAAUGUUAUAAGAUAAUCACUUCUAAUUUUAAGCCUAGUCAAACUAAUUGUAAAAAAGCUCAUUCCAGGUGAACUUGCAUUAUUUUGUUUCAAACUCUUUUCUACCUGAAUACCGUAUUAAUUAAUUUCAUCUCUUUUAAACAUUGUCAAUCAUUUUGUUGAACAUGAACAAAAACUGAAUCUCAAAUGUAAUUUAACUAAUAGUUUGAAAGUGUCCAAGAUUGUCGCACAACAAAACCUAUACAAAAAUGGACAAUUUAAACAUGCAAACAAUUUUGGGAAAACUGUUGAAGUAAUUUAGAUCUUUUUAAACAAUUAAGUUGUACAAUGAAUAAAAUGAAGAUAAACCAAGGAAAAAACAAAAUCA